AUACGGAGGGUGCAAGCGUUAAUCGGAAUUACAGGGCGUAAAGCGCGCGCAGGCGGCUAUUUAAGUUGGAUGUGAAAGCCUACGGCUCAACCGUAGAACUGCAUCCAAAACUAUUUAGCUAGAGUGUGGGAGAGGAAGAUGGAAUUAGUUGUGUAGGGGUAAAAUCCGUAGAGAUAACUAGGAAUACCAAAAGCGAAGGCAAUCUUCUGGAACACUACUGACGCUGAGGCGCGAAAGCGUGGGGAGCAAACAGGAUUAGAAACCCUAGUAGUCC
rnacentral:rRNA from 1 species